rnacentral:rRNA from 1 species
UGGGGAAUAUUGGACAAUGGGGGCAACCCUGAUCCAGCAAUGCCGCGUGUGUGAAGAAGGUCUUCGGAUUGUAAAGCACUUUCGACGGGGACGAUGAUGACGGUACCCGUAGAAGAAGCCCCGGCUAACUUCGUGCCAGCAGCCGCGGUAAUACGAAGGGGGCUAGCGUUGCUCGGAAUGACUGGGCGUAAAGGGCGUGUAGGCGGUUUACACAGUCAGAUGUGAAAUCCCCGGGCUUAACCUGGGAGCUGCAUUUGAUACGUGUAGACUAGAGUGUGAGAGAGGGUUGUGGAAUUCCCAGUGUAGAGGUGAAAUUCGUAGAUAUUGGGAAGAACACCGGUGGCGAAGGCGGCAACCUGGCUCAUGACUGACGCUGAGGCGCGAAAGCGUGGGGAGCAAACAGGAUUAGAUACCCUGGUAGUCCACGCUGUAAACGAUGUGUGCUAGAUGUUGGGUAACUUUGUUAUUCAGUGUCGCAGUUAACGCGUUAAGCACACCGCCUGGGGAGUACGGCCGCAAGGUUGAAA